rnacentral:rRNA from 1 species
GACGAACGCUGGCGGCGUGCUUAACACAUGCAAGUCGAACGAAGAGCGAUGGAAGCUUGCUUCUAUCAAUCUUAGUGGCGAACGGGUGAGUAACGCGUAAUCAACCUGCCCUUCAGAGGGGGACAACAGUUGGAAACGACUGCUAAUACCGCAUACGAUCUAAUCUCGGCAUCGAGGAUAGAUGAAAGGUGGCCUCUACAUGUAAGCUAUCACUGAAGGAGGGGAUUGCGUCUGAUUAGCUAGUUGGAGGGGUAACGGCCCACCAAGGCGAUGAUCAGUAGCCGGUCUGAGAGGAUGAACGGCCACAUUGGGACUGAGACACGGCCCAGACCCCUACGGGAGGCAGCAGUGGGGAAUCUUCCGCAAUGGACGAAAGUCUGACGGAGCAACGCCGCGUGAGUGAUGACGGCCUUCGGGUUGUAAAGCUCUGUUAAUCGGGACGAAAGGCCUUCUUGCGAAUAGUGAGAAGGAUUGACGGUACCGGAAGAGAAAGCCACGGCUAACUACGUG